rnacentral:rRNA from 1 species
AACAGGAUUAGAUACCCUGGUAGUCCACGCCGUAAACGAUGUCGACUUGGAGGUUGUUCCCUUGAGGAGUGGCUUCCGGAGCUAACGCGUUAAGUCGACCGCCUGGGGAGUACGGCCGCAAGGUUAAAACUCAAAUGAAUUGACGGGGGCCCGCACAAGCGGUGGAGCAUGUGGUUUAAUUCGAUGCAACGCGAAGAACCUUACCUACUCUUGACAUCCAGAGAACUUAGCAGAGAUGCUUUGGUGCCUUCGGGAACUCUGAGACAGGUGCUGCAUGGCUGUCGUCAGCUCGUGUUGUGAAAUGUUGGGUUAAGUCCCGCAACGAGCGCAACCCUUAUCCUUUGUUGCCAGCGAUUCGGUCGGGAACUCAAAGGAGACUGCCGGUGAUAAACCGGAGGAAGGUGGGAAUGACGUCAAGUCAUCAUGGCCCUUACGAGUAGGGCUACACACGUGCUACAAUGGCGCAUACAAAGAGAAGCGACCUCGCGAGAGCAAGCGGACCUCAUAAAGUGCGUCGUAGUCCGGAUCGGAGUCUGCAACUCGACUCCGUGAAGUCGGAAUCGCUAGUAAUCGUGGAUCAGAAUGCCACGGUGAAUACGUUCCCGGGCCUUGUACACACCGCCCGUCACACCAUGGGAGUGGGUUGCUCCAGAAGUAGCUAGUCUAACCUUCGGGAGGACGGUUACCACGGAGUGAUUCAUGACUGGGGUGAAGUCGUAACAAGGUAA